UACGGAGGGGGCUAGCGUUGUUCGGAAUUACUGGGCGUAAAGCGCACGUAGGCGGCUUUGUAAGUUAGAGGUGAAAGCCCAGGGCUUAACCCUGGAAUUGCCUUUAAGACUGCAUCGCUAGAAUUGUGGAGAGGUAAGUGGAAUUCCGAGUGUAGAGGUGAAAUUCGUAGAUAUUCAGAAGAACACCAGUGGCGAAGGCGACUUACUGGACACAUAUUGACGCUGAGGUGCGAAAGCGUGGGGAGCAAACAGG
rnacentral:rRNA from 1 species